rnacentral:lncRNA from 1 species
CCGGGGGUCAGGGGAGGGAGGCCAGCAGGCCGGCGGGGUCCGCCCCGACCCCGACCGCGACCCCGACUCCGAUCCGAUCCUAUCCCCAGCCCCUCUCCGGCCUUUCCCCUUGCGCCCUGGCUCGGCUGACUCGGCGAGCAGUAAGUUCGUAGCUGCUCUCCGAAGCCGGGCGUGCAUGGGAUGGCAGAGUUGGCGUGCGUGCGUGAGUCCACCAGUGUGGCCUGGGCAUGUAAGGUGCGCGGAGGGACUGGACCUUCUCAUCAGGUGCUGAAGGGCAAAGCCAUGUCCUCGUGCACAGUCAUGAGGCAUGGCCGAGGAUUAUAUAAGAAGAGCUGUUCCUAGUGCAGUUGGCGCCUGCAGGAAACCAUGACGUGGCAUCUGCAAAGCUCAUUGCAGAUCAAGUCUUCAGCAGACAUCAUGUGACCUUGAGGAUGGAUGUCACAUGCUGGAGGAAACAGAAGGCCGAAACCCUGAUGACUUCACAGAGCUGCCAAAACAGUUCCUGACUGUUUACUCCGGGACUUUAACAAAGUGAUGAAAAUAAAUCCUUACAGUAUGAAAACA